rnacentral:rRNA from 1 species
ACGAGCGCACCCUUGCCCUUAUUUGCCAGCACGUAAUGGUGGGCACUCUAAGGAGACUGCCGGUGACAAACCGGAGGAAGGUGGGGAUGACGUCAAGUCAUCAUGGCCCUUACGGCCAGGGCUACACACGUGCUACAAUGGUUGGUACAACGGGCUGCCAAGUCGCGAGACGGAGCUAAUCCCAUAAAACCAAUCGUAGUCCGGAUCGCAGUCUGCAACUCGACUGCGUGAAGUCGGAAUCGCUAGUAAUCGUGGAUCAGAAUGCCGCGGUGAAUACGUUCCCGGGCCUUGUACACACCGCCCGU